GUGAAUCAUCGAAUUUUUGAACGCAAAUUGCACUCUCCGGUUUUCCGGGAGAGUAUGCCUGUUUGAGGGUCAGCCUAAAAAAAAAAUCGACAUUGUUGCUGUUAUUUAAUGGUGACUUUCGUCGGAGAUUGGGUUAUCUUAAACCUUUUUUUUUUUGUUUUAAUUUAUUUAAAAUUUUUUUUCUCUUUUCAAUGACCGUUUCUAA
rnacentral:misc_RNA from 1 species